GCAGGAUCAACCAGGUAGCAUUCCUCGCUGACCCCGGCAUUGCAAGACGAUGCUAAAACCGCAAAGGUCCUAGCACGUCAAUACAGCACCGGACGUCAUUCGUUUGUGCGAAUUACGCAAGUUUUGGGCAUUAGAAAGUCAUCGACCCCGUACCCUCUAGGUAUUCCGCAUCCGAGAGCUCAAGCAAAAAUUCAUGGGCCGCAACCACACCACGACGUGUGAGUAGAACGGAACACAAAUAAUGCUUCGAGGUUCACCCGAAGCCGCACCCUUCGAAGGGACAACGCAAGGUGAAUGAUGGACAAAUUGGCAAACAAAUUCCAUUACAGUAGGUAUGCAACACAGGAAACCGAACCGUACGGCCAAGGCUAAUGUUGCUCUUGGGCCUAACAAAUGAAGAGGAUUGUAUGGAAGGACGUCACGGCCCAAGCAGAGAUCCA
rnacentral:misc_RNA from 1 species